ACGAACGCUGGCGGCGUGCCUAAUACAUGCAAGUCGAACGCACUCUCGUUUAGAUUGAAGGAGUUUGCUCCUGAUUGAUAAACAUUUGAGUGAGUGGCGGACGGGUGAGUAACACGUGGGUAACCUGCCCUAAAGUGGGGGAUAACAUUUGGAAACAGAUGCUAAUACCGCAUAAAACCUAACACCGCAUGGUGUAGGGUUGAAAGAUGGUUUCGGCUAUCACUUUAGGAUGGACCCGCGGUGCAUUAGUUAGUUGGUGAGGUAAAGGCUCACCAAGACCGUUAUGCAUAGCCGACCUGAGAGGGUAGUCGGCCACACUGGGACUGAGACACGGCCCAGACUCCUACGGGAGGCAGCAGUAGGGAAUCUUCCACAAUGGACGAAAGUCUGAUGGAGCAACGCCGCGUGAGUGAAGAAGGUGUUCGGAUCGUAAAACUCUGUUGUUGGAGAAGAAUGUAUCUGAUAGUAACUGAUCAGGUAGUGACGGUAUCCAACCAGAAAGCCACGGCUAACUACGUG
rnacentral:rRNA from 1 species